GGUUAAGCGACUAAGCGUACACGGUGGAUGCCCUGGCAGUCAGAGGCGAUGAAGGGCGUACUAAUCUGCGAUAAGCGCCGGUAAGGUGAUAUGAACCGUUAUAACCGGCGAUACCCGAAUGGGGAAACCCAGUGUGAUUCGUCACACUAUCAUUAACUGAAUCCAUAGGUUAAUGAGGCGAACCGGGGGAACUGAAACAUCUAAGUACCCCGAGGAAAAGAAAUCAACCGAGAUUCCCCCAGUAGCGGCGAGCGAACGGGGAGGAGCCCAGAGCCUGAAUCAGCAUGUGUGUUAGUGGAAGCGUCUGGAAAGGCGCGCGAUACAGGGUGACAGCCCCGUACACAAAAGCGCAUGUGCUGUGAGCUCGAUGAGUAGGGCGGGACACGUGGUAUCCUGUCUGAAUAUGGGGGGACCAUCCUCCAAGGCUAAAUACUCCUGACUGACCGAUAGUGAACCAGUACCGUGAGGGAAAGGCGAAAAGAACCCCGGCGAGGGGAGUGAAAAAGAACCUGAAACCGUGUACGUACAAGCAGUGGGAGCACAGGUUUACCUGUGUGACUGCGUACCUUUUGUAUAAUGGGUCAGCGACUUAUAUUCUGUAGCAAGGUUAACCGAAUAGGGGAGCCGGAGGGAAACCGAGUCUUAAUUGGGCGUUAAGUUGCAGGGUAUAGACCCGAAACCCGGUGAUCUAGCCAUGGGCAGGUUGAAGGUUGGGUAACACUAACUGGAGGACCGAACCGACUAAUGUUGAAAAAUUAGCGGAUGACCUGUGGCUGGGGGUGAAAGGCCAAUCAAACCGGGAGAUAGCUGGUUCUCCCCGAAAGCUAUUUAGGUAGCGCCUCGUGAAUUCAUCUCCGGGGGUAGAGCACUGUUUCGGCUAGGGGGCCAUCCCGGCUUACCAACCCGAUGCAAACUGCGAAUACCGGAGAAUGUUAUCACGGGAGACACACGGCGGGUGCUAACGUCCGUCGUGAAGAGGGAAACAACCCAGACCGCCAGCUAAGGUCCCAAAGUCAUGGUUAAGUGGGAAACGAUGUGGGAAGGCCCAGACAGCCAGGAUGUUGGCUUAGAAGCAGCCAUCAUUUAAAGAAAGCGUAAUAGCUCACUGGUCGAGUCGGCCUGCGCGGAAGAUGUAACGGGGCUAAACCAUGCACCGAAGCUGCGGCAGCGACGCUUAUGCGUUGUUGGGUAGGGGAGCGUUCUGUAAGCCUGCGAAGGUGGCCUGUGAGGGUUGCUGGAGGUAUCAGAAGUGCGAAUGCUGACAUAAGUAACGAUAAAGCGGGUGAAAAGCCCGCUCGCCGGAAGACCAAGGGUUCCUGUCCAACGUUAAUCGGGGCAGGGUGAGUCGACCCCUAAGGCGAGGCCGAAAGGCGUAGUCGAUGGGAAACGGGUUAAUAUUCCCGUACUUGGUGUUACUGCGAAGGGGGGACGGAGAAGGCUAUGUUGGCCGGGCGACGGUUGUCCCGGUUUAAGCGUGUAGGUGUGUGUUCCAGGUAAAUCCGGUUCACUUUAACACUGAGGCGUGACGACGAGGCACUACGGUGCUGAAGCAACAAAUGCCCUGCUUCCAGGAAAAGCCUCUAAGCAUCAGGUAACAUCAAAUCGUACCCCAAACCGACACAGGUGGUCAGGUAGAGAAUACCAAGGCGCUUGAGAGAACUCGGGUGAAGGAACUAGGCAAAAUGGUGCCGUAACUUCGGGAGAAGGCACGCUGACACGUAGGUGAAGUGAUUUACUCAUGGAGCUGAAGUCAGUCGAAGAUACCAGCUGGCUGCAACUGUUUAUUAAAAACACAGCACUGUGCAAACACGAAAGUGGACGUAUACGGUGUGACGCCUGCCCGGUGCCGGAAGGUUAAUUGAUGGGGUCAGCGCAAGCGAAGCUCCUGAUCGAAGCCCCGGUAAACGGCGGCCGUAACUAUAACGGUCCUAAGGUAGCGAAAUUCCUUGUCGGGUAAGUUCCGACCUGCACGAAUGGCGUAAUGAUGGCCAGGCUGUCUCCACCCGAGACUCAGUGAAAUUGAACUCGCUGUGAAGAUGCAGUGUACCCGCGGCAAGACGGAAAGACCCCGUGAACCUUUACUAUAGCUUGACACUGAACAUUGAGCCUUGAUGUGUAGGAUAGGUGGGAGGCUUUGAAGUGUGGACGCCAGUCUGCAUGGAGCCGACCUUGAAAUACCACCCUUUAAUGUUUGAUGUUCUAACGUGGACCCGUUACCCGGGUUGCGGACAGUGUCUGGUGGGUAGUUUGACUGGGGCGGUCUCCUCCUAAAGAGUAACGGAGGAGCACGAAGGUUGGCUAAUCCUGGUCGGACAUCAGGAGGUUAGUGCAAUGGCAUAAGCCAGCUUGACUGCGAGCGUGACGGCGCGAGCAGGUGCGAAAGCAGGUCAUAGUGAUCCGGUGGUUCUGAAUGGAAGGGCCAUCGCUCAACGGAUAAAAGGUACUCCGGGGAUAACAGGCUGAUACCGCCCAAGAGUUCAUAUCGACGGCGGUGUUUGGCACCUCGAUGUCGGCUCAUCACAUCUGGGGCUGAAGUAGGUCCCAAGGGUAUGGCUGUUCGCCAUUUAAAGUGGUACGCGAGCUGGGUUUAGAACGUCGUGAGACAGUUCGGUCCCUAUCUGCCGUGGGCGCUGGAGAACUGAGGGGGGCUGCUCCUAGUACGAGAGGACCGGAGUGGACGCAUCACUGGUGUUCGGGUUGUCAUGCCAAUGGCACUGCCCGGUAGCUAAAUGCGGAAGAGAUAAGUGCUGAAAGCAUCUAAGCACGAAACUUGCCCCGAGAUGAGUUCUCCCUGAGACUUAAAGUCUCCUGAAGGAACGUUGAAGACGACGACGUUGAUAGGCCGGGUGUGUAAGCGCAGCGAUGCGUUGAGCUAACCGGUACUAAUGAACCGUGAGGCUUAACCUUACAACGCCGAAG
rnacentral:rRNA from 1 species